UACCUGCGGCCCGAGUUGUGACCAUUAUUAUUGAGUCUAAAGCGUUCGUAGCUGGUUUGGAUAGUUUGUGCUUAAAUCUUUUCGUUUAACGGAAAGGCAUGGUAUAAAUACUUCUAGACUAGAGGCCGGGAGGGGAGAUGGGAACUUUUCGGGUAGGAGUAAAAUCCUUUAAUCCGAAAAAGACCACCAAUAGCGAAGGCACAUCUCCAGAACGGACCUGACGGUGAGGGACGAAGGCUAGGAGAACAAACCGG
rnacentral:rRNA from 1 species